rnacentral:lncRNA from 1 species
ACGUGAGAAAAAGAAGGAGAGAGGGAGAAAGAAAAAUAGAAAGAAAAGGAGAAAGAGAAAAAGAAGAAGAGGAGGAAUUCGAACGUCGUGCCAAAGGGAACACGCAAAGGCGCGCGUUGUUCCCUCUCUCUCUCUCUCCCUUCCUCAACAGGCCACCCCCUUUCUUUCGCGUACGUGUCGCGUGCUCUCGCGCAUGUCUUCUUCAUCCUCCUCCUUUUCCUCCUCCUUUUCCUCCUCCUCAUCCUCCACCUCCACAUCCUCCUCCUUCACCUCCUCCUCUUCCUCCUGCUCCUUCUCUUCUUCGUCAUCAUCCCAUCGAGAACUUUUGUUUUGAUCUUGAAGUUGCCAUCGGCGGAUGCAGAAAUCCAUCCGGCUCGCGUUAGAUCGAAACGUUAGCGAGAUUUAAACGUGAGAAGAAAAGAGAGAGUGAGGGACUGAGAGAAGUGUACAUGUAUAACACACCUAGUGGGGAGAGAGAGAUAUCGAUCGUGGGACCAUUGACGUCCGUUUCUGGAGAACGCGGCACACGAAGAGACGUUAAGGGUGCUUUCGCGAACCAACCCCCUUUUACCACCACCACCACCACCACCACUACUACCUUUACCACUACUACCAGUACUACUAUUACUAUUCUACCUCGUUCCUCUUUUUUAUCUAUAUCUUCUUUCUCUCUUUGACUUACUUCGCUGUGAAUUUUACGCGCGAACCUUGUUCAACAAGAGGAACCUUAGUGAGUGAGAUAGAUUCUAGGAUAAAGAAGGACUCCUUGGGAGGAUGCAACCCGGCUUACGUGUUUUAGUAUUUUCACGUGAUUUUCAACAACAUCUUCGGCAUCGUAAUCGUCUCACUUCUGACAAUACUAUUUCUACUACUACUACUGCUGCUAUUGAUAUUGAUACUACUAUUUUUAUUAUCGCUGCUGCUGCUGCUGUUAUUAUUAUUAUUAUUAUUAUCAUUGUUGUUAUCGUUGUUGUUGCACGACAAAACAGUGCACAUUUUCGCGCUAUUAGUUUAUCUUACGAACGAGCUAAAAGUGUUGCGUGUUACCAUUCGAGUUUUUUUUCCUACGCUAAGGGGAUGAUCGUUACGUGAUCAACGAGACACAACAAUUAAGCGUUUUUAAUAUUCCAUCUAGUGGUUCUGAGAAACUCUUUCUUCUCGACGACAUCGUGCAACAAUGGGUCGGAAGAAGAUUCAGAUCUCGCGCAUCACGGACGAACGAAACCGUCAGGUGACCUUUAACAAGAGGAAAUUCGGGGUAAUGAAGAAGGCGUACGAA